rnacentral:misc_RNA from 1 species
UUUCCGUAGGUGAACCUGCGGAAGGAUCAUUAUUGUAUAACCGAGAUGCGAGGGCUGUCGCUGACCCGAAAGGUCGUGCACGCCCGAGUGCCCUCACACACAUCCAUCUCCCCCCCAUGUGCACCACCGCGUGGGUCCCCCUUUGGCUUGUUCGGAGGGGGGCUUACGUUUUCAAACAAACUUUGUAUGCAGUGUAGAAUGUAUUUUUUGUUUUUGCGAUCACGCAAUCAAUACAACUUUCAACAACGGAUCUCUUGGCUCUC